rnacentral:misc_RNA from 1 species
ACGCUUUGUAGCAAUACUGGGCGUUAGUGGCAGACGGGUGAGUAACACGUGGGUGACCUACCUUAAAGUGGGGAAUAACGGUCCGAAAGGAUCGCUAAGACCGCAUGUGCUCGAUGGCUCAAUCUAUCGAGUAAAACUGCAAAGUGCUUUGAGAGGGGCCCGCGGCCCAUCAGGUAGUUGGUGAGGUAAUGGCCCACCAAGCCGGUGAAGGGUAGCUGUUCUGAGAGGACGAUCAGCCACAAUGGAUCUGCUCCUCGGUGGAUGAUCCUACNNGAGCUUCCUCCCGUUGGGGUU